rnacentral:rRNA from 1 species
GAUGAACGCUGGCGGCGUGCCUAAUACAUGCAAGUCGAGCGAACAGACGAGGAGCUUGCUCCUCUGACGUUAGCGGCGGACGGGUGAGUAACACGUGGAUAACCUACCUAUAAGACUGGGAUAACUUCGGGAAACCGGAGCUAAUACCGGAUAAUAUAUUGAACCGCAUGGUUCAAUAGUGAAAGACGGUGUUGCUGUCACUUAUAGAUGGAUCCGCGCCGCAUUGGCUAGUUGGUAAGGUAACGGCUUACCAAGGCAACGAUGCGUAGCCGACCUGGGAGGGAGAGCGGCCACACUGGGACGGAGACACGGUCCAGACGCCUACGGGAGGCAGCAGUAGGGAAUCUGCCGCAAGGGGCGAAAGAUUGACGGAGCAACGCCGCGGGAGUGAUGAAGGACGUCGGAUCGUAAAACUCGGUUAUUAGGGAAGAACAAAUGUGUAAGUAACAAGGCACGUGUUGACGGUACCUAAGCAGAAAGCCACGGCUAACUACGGUC